UACGGAGGGGGCUAGCGUUGUUCGGAAUUACUGGGCGUAAAGCGCUCGUAGGCGGACUGGAAAGUCAGAGGUGAAAUCCAAGGGCUCAACCUUGGAACUGCCUUUGAAACUCACGGUCUUGAGGUCGGGAGAGGUGAGUGGAAUUCCGGGUGUAGAGGUGAAAUUCGUAGAUAUUCGGAGGAACACCAGUGGCGAAGGCGGCUCACUGGCUCGAUACUGACGCUGAGGUGCGAAAGCGUGGGGAGCAAACAGG
rnacentral:rRNA from 1 species